UACGGAGGGUGCGAGCGUUGUCCGGAAUCACUGGGCGUAAAGGGCGCGUAGGCGGCCUGAUAAGUAGGGGGUGAAAUCCUGCGGCUUAACCGCAGGGCUGCCUUCUAAACUGUCAGGCUCGAGCACAGUAGAGGCAGGUGGAAUUCCCGGUGUAGCGGUGGAAUGCGUAGAGAUCGGGAAGAACAUCGGUGGCGAAGGCGGCCUGCUGGGCUGUUGCUGACGCUGAGGCGCGA
rnacentral:rRNA from 1 species